AAACAUUUUUGUUUAGAUGCAAUGGAGAAUUGACUAACGUUUUGAUGUAGGCGCACACGAGUAAAAGCAAUCAUUUUGAUUUAGAUGCAAACGAGAAUUGGCAACCAUUUUAAUGCAAGCACACACGAGUAAAAGCAAACAUUUUUGUUUAGAUGCAAACGAGAAUUGGCAACCAUUUUGAUGUAGGUGCACACGAGAAUUGCCAACCAUUUUGAUGCAGGCGCACACGAGUAAAAGGAAACAUUUUGAUUUAGAUGCAAACGAGAAUUGACAAACAUUUUGAUGUAGGUGUACACGAGAAAAAGCAAACAUUUAGAUUUAGGCACACACGAGUUUACGGAGAGUUAGAAGAGGGUACUUUCUUUCGUCUU